rfam:Moraxella lacunata strain CCTG 57757A contig_21, whole genome shotgun sequence.
UAGUCAAAUUAAGUGGUCGGAGGGAGGAAAGUCCGGACUACAUAGGGCGACGUGCUAGCUAACGGCUAGGAGGCGAAAGCCUACGACCAGUGCAACAGAGAAUAGACCGCCCGACCACUCAACCAAGUAUUUAUUGUAAUUUUAAAAAAUUGUAAUUGUAAAAAUAUUUGGUUGAGUGGUUGGGUAAGGGUGAAACGGUGGGGUAAGAGCCCACCGCAUGACUGGCAACAGUUCAUGGCAAGGUAAACUCCACGUGUAGCAAGACCAAAUAGGUAUCCAAUGAGUUGCCCGCUUAGGAUACGGGUAGGUUGCUUGAAUGCAUGAGUGAUUGUGCGUCUAGAUGAAUGAUUGUCCACGACAGAAUCCGGCUUAUCGGUUUGCCAUCUAU